CUCUUCUUUGUCUCCCGUCUCCUCUGGACUGGAGGUUCACUGAAGGCAGCGAGGAUGUCCCGGAUCUCAUCUUGAGGCCCUUCCCUCUUCCAUUGUCCAUGAACACCAGGGACUCACUCAGUCCAAAGGGAGCCAGAGCUGCUUUCAAACACCAGGAGGUGACAAGUUGCUGGAUGAGAAGAGGUCCCUCGUCAAGAGAAGGAAAUCGUUUGGAGCUGGAGGAGGCUGACAGACACUGCAAACUUUGCUUCUUUCUCGAUUUUACAGAACACUGCAUUAGGAUGGGAGUCUUUGACAGUUUAAAAAUGUUUCUUUCUCUGUGACUCCUACUGUUCCCCUACCAUCUUCUCCCCAUGGCCCCCACUAUGUACCCAGAACCUCCUCUACCCUCCUGAAUAUAUGUGAAAAAUUCAGAAGAAGGUUAGUCUGGGCAAACUGUGGAAUACAUGGAUUUAGAUGUAUUGUCUCAUGUCCCUUAAUCCCUGCAACACAGGACAAGGAGGGCCCUUCCAUUAGCAAAUUAGUGGCAGAAUUUCAGGUCAGCAAGAGGGAAAUGUAUGAGGUAGGCAGAACUUUUGUUGAUUAACGUCUUCAGAACACAUUAUUGAAGCAAUUGCCUGCUUGACCUGUUACUCAAGAUAGGGAAACAUUUGUCUUUGAGCAAUAAGUUUUAAGAUUCUCCAGACUUCUUGUGUAUUCCUUAGCUUCUUUCAAUCUCAAAAAUUUCUCAAAGUGAACUGAGGUGGCAGGGGUGGUAGUGAUAAAAUUAUAGGUUUUUCUUUAUUACCCAGGAAAUUCUAAAUGCAGGCGUCUCCUGGGGUUAAGAGAUAAUUCUAAACUGGGAAAUUCAGUGUGUGAGGACAAGGACAGCAGGGACACUUGUUAAUAAGUGGCAGACUCUAUUCUUCCUCUUGUCAUUUGCUGCAGAAACAUGAAUCAUGACCACAUCUUUCCAGAUCAGGGAGGGCCUCAG